rnacentral:rRNA from 1 species
GAGUUUGAUCGUGGCUCAGAUUGAACGCUGGCGGCAUGCCUUACACAUGCAAGUCGAACGGCAGCAUGAUCUAGCUUGCUAGAUUGAUGGCGAGUGGCGAACGGGUGAGUAAUACAUCGGAACGUGCCCUGUAGUGGGGGAUAACUAGUCGAAAGAUUAGCUAAUACCGCAUACGACCUGAGGGUGAAAGUGGGGGACCGCAAGGCCUCACGCUAUAGGAGCGGCCGAUGUCUGAUUAGCUAGUUGGUGGGUAAAGGCCCACCAAGGCGACGAUCGAGUAGCGUGGUCUGAGAGGACGAUCACGCCACACGU